rnacentral:rRNA from 1 species
CACGUAGGGUGCGAGCGUUGUCCGGAAUUAUUGGGCGUAAAGAGCUCGUAGGCGGUGUGUCGCGUCGGCCGUGAAAACCUGCAGCUUAACUGUGGGCUUGCGGUCGAUACGGGCAUCACUGGAGUUCGGCAGGGGAGACUGGAAUUCCUGGUGUAGCGGUGAAAUGCGCAGAUAUCAGGAGGAACACCGGUGGCGAAGGCGGCGUGCUGGACCUCUUCUGACGCUGAGGCGCGAAAGCCAGGGGAGCGAACGGG